GCACCUCUGUAUACGAGUUGGGUCUCAGCAUCGCGACCUGAUCAUAAAUGUCAGCACGAAGGCCAUUGAGAAACUUUCUAGUUUUUUGGCUUUCGGGGGUGACCAUCAAGAGGCAAACCUAGACAGUUGAACAAAACAAGCUGCAUAUUGGGCUACAGAAAGGCUUCCUUAGUGGAGAUCCUGAAAUUUCUCUUCUUUCUUUUCCUAAACAUAGGUAGGGAAGAAG
rnacentral:lncRNA from 1 species